rnacentral:rRNA from 1 species
AGGAUUAACGCUGGCGGCGUGCCUAACACAUGCAAGUCGAACGAGGUAGCAAUACCUAGUGGCAAACGGGUGAGUAACGCGUGGUCAACCUACCGUUGAGUGGGGGAUAACUAACCGAAAGGUUAGCUAAUACCGCAUACGUCUCCGAGGGGCAUCCCUUGGCGAUAAAAGGAGCAAUCCGCUCGAUGACGGGACCGCGUCCCAUUAGCUAGAUGGUGGGGUAACGGCCUACCAUGGCACCGAUGGGUAGCUGGUUUGAGAGAGCGACCAGCCACACUGGGACUGAGAAACGGCCCAGACUCCUACGGGAGGCAGCAGUGAGGAAUUUUCCGCAAUGGGCGCGAAGCCUGACGGAGCGACGCCGCGUGUGGGGAAGAAGGCCUUCGGGUCGUAAACCACUGUCGAAGGGGACGAUAAUGACGGUACCCUUGGAGGAAGCCCGGCUACUACGUGCCAGCAGCCGC